UGUCAAGCUCCAACAGGGCAGGUUGAUCUUGAAAACUUGGGUCAUUCUACUAUUCAACUUGGUGCCUUGCACAUUGUGAGUGAUCAAUAAUAAUCAUUUAUAAACCGAUUUUUUCCUUCUAAUUUGCCCCCUGCAUUCUUAAGUCAUAGGCAUAACAAGUGCAUCAGCAUUCAUGAUACCAAGAAUAUUUUAAUAACAAAAUUAUUA
rnacentral:lncRNA from 1 species